AGCCGAAUUAAACACGGAUCUGCGAGACGUACUUCAGCUUUCGUGAGAUCCGCCAGUGUUUUGCAAG
rnacentral:snoRNA from 1 species